rnacentral:rRNA from 1 species
CCUACGGGAGGCAGCAGUGGGGAAUAUUGGACAAUGGGCGAAAGCCUGAUCCAGCAAUGCCGCGUGUGUGAAGAAGGCCUUCGGGUUGUAAAGCACUUUUAUCAGGAACGAAAUCUUGAUGGUUAAUACCCAUCAAGUCUGACGGUACCUGAGGAAUAAGCACCGGCUAACUCCGUGCCAGCAGCCGCGGUAA